GACAGUCUCCAUCUGCCACAUCUUUGGGAUCUACCACAACAUUCACCUCAAGACCUUUCUUUCCCUGAGCUGCUCUUAGUCAAUGACGAAGCAUAGAACAGGUUCUAGAGCAAGACUAUUUCGGCCCAAUGUGCAACAUUUGUAAUGGACAACCUUUGUGUUGGGACUGCCCAUCAGCCUGGCUGGCCAAGCCUUUCUCAGAGCUAUGUUGUAGCCUGAGGCUCUUCCUACUCAAAUCUCCUUCCUUUUCUCUCUCCUUCCACAAGCAUAAGAACUGCAUCACUUCUGAAGGUUCUUCCCUCCUAUUCCUGUUCUCUCUCCUCUUUAUCCUUUACAGGCAUUUCCCCCAGUAUAUCCCUUGCACAUCUAGUUCUAUCAUGACAACUGCUUCCUAGAAGACUUGAACUAAUGCUAGAGGUAAUUAUAAAUAUUAACAUUAGUACUCUGCAAUUUUGUGCUACUAUUUCUUGGAAACAAAUCAAUAAAAUGACAAUAAAGGAAAUUUUUUAAUGACCAAAACACACACACACCAGAAAAAAAAAAAAAAAAAAAAAAACAGAUGAAAAGAUCAGAGUUCAGACUUUUAAGCUAGAAGGCAGAUGAUUGUGAAUGAGUGGUCACUGGUCAUGGAUUUGGCAUACCAGAGAGCGCUGAAUCCUAAAAUGACAAAGCAAGAGGUCAAAACGGCAUUUUAUGUACCAUACAAUGUUUUCAAAAAUUUAGAAGUUGGCAGCAUCAGUUACUUCUGGUAUUAAAAGUAAAGGUGGGGAAAAAAGAUUAGUUGAAAAUCUAAGACAAAAGUAGAACUCCCCUGACCCCACUGCAGGAUCACCUUGGUGAGGGGUAGUGACAUCUGUAUGUGCAGCCAAGCAAGCUUCCAUCCCCCAUCCCAGCAAAAGACUAGAGAUUUAUGUUCUAAAAAGAGCAAAGCAUAAAGGACUCCACACUGAGAAAUAAGGCCCAUUGAUGAAGAGGUACUUCCCAACAUUUUUCACCCACUUAGAUUCUAGAACUGUGGAAGCCAGGAGUUCGCCAUCCAUAUAGAAAAUAGAAAGUCUCUCUUCUAGGAAACCUGACUACACCAAGAAUUAAGAUUUAAAAUACUGUAUUUGGGCUUGCACAAGGAUAUGACUUACAGGAAGAUCACAGUAAACAAGUCCCAGACAUUGGAAGGGAAAAAAAUGUGGUAUUGAAAACAGAGACAAAAUAUGCAAGUAAAAAAAAAAAAAAAAAAAGCAAGUGAAUAAAAACUAAGCAAGUAGACAGGUGACUAAAUGAAGAGAAUUUAUUAUUUUCAAAGAGAUAAGAAGUGUAUUUAUGCAAAGAAGAAGUGAAUGCUAGAGGAAAGGUAUCUUUGUUGAAUUAAAAAAAUGCUUUUUGAAAUUAAAAAUACAAGAGCAGAAAUUUUUGAAAAAUUCAAUAUAAAGUGUGAAGGAUAAAGUUGAGGAGAUCAGAAACAGAAAACAAAUAAAAUAGUAGGAAUCAUAGAAAGGAAAUAAUCACAUGAAAAUUUCAAAACAACAUCCCCCCCCAAAAAAAAGAUAGGUUUUAUAGUUUUAAAAUGUCCAGAGAGUCCACAGGACAAUGGAUGAAAGUGGAUCUAUUCCAAGACACAACAUUGUAAAAUGUCUACUCUUGCAACUAAGAU
rnacentral:lncRNA from 1 species